rnacentral:rRNA from 1 species
UACGGAGGAUGCGAGCGUUAUCCGGAUUUAUUGGGUUUAAAGGGUGCGUAGGCGGAAUAUCAAGUCAGCGGUAAAAAUUCGGGGCUCAACCCCGUCGUGCCGUUGAAACUGAUGUUCUUGAGUGGGCGAGAAGUAUGCGGAAUGCGUGGUGUAGCGGUGAAAUGCAUAGAUAUCACGCAGAACUCCGAUUGCGAAGGCAGCAUACCGGCGCCCAACUGACGCUGAAGCACGAAAGCGCGGGUAUCGAACAGG